AAAAAAAAUAUAUAUAAUAUUAAGCUUCUAACUUAAUUAAUAAAA
rnacentral:tRNA from 1 species